CCUCUCUUGACUCCAUGCACUUCAUUUUGCACCUCCCUCGACUUAAUCGUGCUUCCAUCGUAUUACCUUGCGUUUUAAGUAAAUCUCUUCAGUUUUGGCCAGCGCUCAGCACAGCACGCCACCGUUAAGGCGAUGACAAAGUUAUAUAGCAAGUGCUUUUAGGAGAUUGAGGCCUUCAACGACACUCGACACAUUGUUAACAUGCUAGGAAAGGGACUCUGAUGGUGCUAUUGUUGUCCCCCUUCCAGCGAAUGUUGUCGGAAACCCCUUGUCUACUACAUGUGGUACAGAGAACGAGCUGUGGCACCUGAAGUUCCCAGACUGGCCAAUACGUGACCC